GGACUUCCACCAAUUUUCCUCUUCUCGCAAACUCAUCCUCCGUAUCAUCCUUCCUCUCUUCCCUUUCUCUAUUUCUCAUGGCGGCUUCCAAAUCUCUUCUCCUCUUCCUCGCCUUCGCCGCCACUGCUGCCAUCGUCUCCGCCCACAAUAUUACCGACAUGCUGAAAGACUUCCCUUAGUACAACGUUUUCAACAAUUAUCUCCAACAAACCAGACUUACUGACGAGAUAAACAGCCGUCAGAUUAUCCUCGUCCUUGUCGUUGCCAAUUCUCCCAUCCUCGACAAACAUCCUCUCUCCAUUAUCAAAAAUCUCUUCAGUCUCCACAUCGUCUUGGACUACUAAGAUCCCGCAAAACUCCACAAGAUCUCCAACGGGACCACUCUUUGCACUACGCUCUAUACCAAACCACAAGUCACGCUCUUGGAAAUCUAUAUUUCUUCAACAUUACCGAUCUCCAAGCCGAUAAGGUUGGAUUCGGCUCCGUCGUACCCGGAUCUAAACUUGAAUCAAGUUACAUGAAGUGGGUUGUGAGUUUGCCAUACAACAUUUCGGUUAUUGAGAUGUAGGGGAUUUUGACAGCUUCAGCUCCCUCGGCUUUCAAUGUUAACAUAACGGCUUUGCUCGAGAAAGUUGGCAAAUUAAUAAUUCCUAAUAUGAGUAUGAAUUUCGAUUAAUGUAUCAAAGUUGACAAUGUUUUUUUGUUGAAAUAUGGAAGUUAUUUGGUUUUAUAGGUUGACUGGCUUCUUUCCCUGGAUUUUAUUCCGAGAUCGAGAUUGUAAUUAGACAGUUCCACUACUUUCUUUUUUUACUUCAUUCCUUCAAACUUUUUAAGUGUUGAGCACUCUUAUUCCUUCAAACUUUUAAUUGUGUAUUUAUGAUUUUGAUAGCAACUUCAUCUUCAGUUUCUGAAAAUCAAAUUUGUUUGUUAAUAGUUAAUUUAUUUUGCGUUAUAUUUCUUAUUAUUUUAUCACAUAUAGUUUUUGCUUGUGAAAGAAAGACGACAGUAUGAAGCAGCCCUCGUAGCAAUAAUUGUGAAGGAGCCAUUAGAACUGGUUAGUUUGUUUGCCCAUUACUUCUUCAUUUUGUGAAAUUGUCCAUUAAGAUUUUAGUAGUUUUUGCUUGCGGUCUAAUAAUGAGAAAUUCCAGAAGUAAAAUUUAGUCAUUGCCAAUUCGGACACCUAAUUUUUGGGAGCAGAGUCAGAGCUAUUGGUUAGUUCUCUAUUCUCUUCCAUUAGCGAGUCUUCACAAGGAAUAUUCAAAAUUUUAUUUAUUUCUUGUGCAUGUAUGCUUUAUGUGUGAAGGCACUCUUUGUUGACAUAAUGAAUCAUGAUUUGUAUUAAUCUCCAUAAGAUAUUGUCAAAGCUCUACAAGCAACGUAUUAUUGUCUACAUAUAAGAGCUUGAGGUAUACUUUUAUCAAAGAGACCAUAAAAGUGUCAUCAAGGACAAUUUCAUGGUUUCUAUUUAUUUAUUUGAACUUUCUGUUGUGUGUUAAGUCUACAUUUUCUUGUUGUCGUGAGUAUUCAAAUGACAAAGAAAAGAAUCCAUAGGCUCAUUUACAAGUAACUACUGUUUAUGCUCUCUGCCAAAAUAAACCAACUAUUUAAUUACUUGUGUACUCCAUUGUUUAUGAUUGCCUUUAAUUUGUAUGUUUAUUUUUACUUUUUGUCGAAUUUUGUUAACAUUAAAUAACUUGCUGAUGUAGUUGGUUUUGCUCUUAGCCUACUAUUUUUUUUUUGUGAAUUAAUGGAUCCUCUUGUCCUAGGAUGCACCACUAUCGUGGGAAAAACGUUUGUAUAUUCUGAUGCAAAAUCUUCUAUACAAAAGAGCUUUUAUCUACAUGGGACUUUUGUUUUUUUUCUCCUUUCCUGUAUGGUCAUUUUCUAAAUCUAAAUCUUAUACGUUUAUCUUUUUUUGUUUACUUGCGGUCUUUAGGGGAUAUAUAUGAGCAUGUUGUGUUGCUUAGUGUGAAGGUUGAGGAUCAAGAUGCAUUUGAAAGAGAUUUCUUCCAAUUGAAGCCUUACUAUAUUGAUGCUCGGAAUAUCCCGUCUUGGGUCUCAACCUUUUGAGGCUUCUUGUCCAGAACUGUGCAGAAUUGCUGAAUUCCAUACGAAACUUGAACUUCUUUCCACCUCUGCUUUGGAGAACCCAUGCAUUAAACAUGAAUGUUGGAAUUGAAUCACUUAGUUACUUUGUGAAUUAGGUCGGGAACAGAAUUAUUAAGAAGAGAAUUCAUGUCGGAGUCGAGCAUGUGCAACCUUCUCGAUGUACCGAGGAAUUUCGCUUGAGAAUGGUGAAGAAUGACGAGCUGAAGGUCGAAGUCAAGGCCAAAAGCGCAGUCAUCUGCACCAAGAGGCAACCAGAAGGCCCUAAACCAGGGUUCAUGGUUGAAGGUGCUUGAAUGGAGAGCGUGACUCCCAUUCCAUAUGGCGUGGUUAAUGAUCUCAAGAGUGGCUAUUAGAAUUUUCUCCUCUUUGAACUUUUGUCUUGUAUUGUCGGUCUUAUUUUUGUUUGAUCUUUGAACUGCUUGAAUAGUACAAUUUUUUCAGUAUGCUUCCAAAUUUUGGAUACAAAACUUUUGGAGUUGAAUUGUUUCUUAAUUUCUGGUUUUGGCCAUUAGCAUAUAAAGCGGUGUUGUUUUAGCUUAUUCAAAGUAAA